ACGGGUCAUUGCUGCAGGCGCCGCGGCCACGCAGAGAUCCAGAGUCACUGUCAGGCCCCGUAGCCCUCCCUUCCCCAACGAAAUGAGGCUCGUUUGGGUUUUGUGUGAUGGUCGCUGUCGGGGUUAUGCUCCCGCUGGGGACCUCCCAGCCCGCCCAUCUCCCGGGUUGAUGUUGCCAGCUCUCCCAAAUGCCCAGCGAGGCAUGGGACGAGGCGGAGCUGCCCACUGGGUCGGAGGACAACGAGGAGGACCAGGGGAGCACUGUGUCCCUGCACAUGGAAGUCCUCUCAGGCAGCCCGGACAUCUCCCAUGCAUCAUUAGAGGCCGGGGAAGGAUCCACUGUGGGACCAAGCAGGAGUAGGGGACCCUCCAGCCCUGCGGCAGCAGCAGCACCCACAACCUUCC